AACUUUUGGCAACGGAUUACUUGGCUCUCGCAUCGAUGAAGAACGCAGCGAAAUGCGAUAAGUAAUGUGAAUUGCAGAAUUCAGUGAAUCACCGAAUCUUUGAACGCACCUUGCGCCCUUUGGCUAUUCCGAAGGGCAUGCCUGUUUGAGUAUCAUGAACACCUCAACUCUCACGGUUCGCCGCGAUGAGCUUGGACUUGGGGGUUUUGCUGGCAUGCAGCCAGCUCCUCUCAAAUGAAUCAGCUUACCAGUCUUUGGUGGCGUCACGGGUGUGAUAACUAUCUACGCUUGUGGGUCGUCCGCCAGGUAACCUUCAGCGAUGGAGGUUUGCUGGAGCUUAUAAAUGUCUCUCCUCAGCGAGGACAAGUUUUUGAACGUUCGAUCUCAAAUCAGGUAGGACUACCCGCUGAACUUAAGCAUAUCAAUAAGCGGAGGCU
rnacentral:misc_RNA from 1 species